rnacentral:snRNA from 1 species
UUACUGGUAAGGUGGAGGAAUACGCAAAAUCAGCAAAGGUGGUUUCCCAGGGUGAGCUAUACACUCCAGGUGUGCUGAUCCCCUGCGAUUUCCCCAAAUGUGGGAAACUCGACUGCAUAAUUUGUGGUAGUGAGGAACUGGGUUCGUGCUCUACCCUGAA